rnacentral:piRNA from 1 species
UGAAGAGAGCAGUGGUUCUCCCAGCAUGC